rnacentral:rRNA from 1 species
AGCAGCCGCGGUAAUUCCAGCUCCAAUAGCGUAUAUUAAAGUUGUUGCAGUUAAAAAGCUCGUAGUUGAAUUUCGGGAUCAAUGCGUCGGUCGUGCUUUCGGGUACGUACUGGUGUCAUUGGUUUCUCCUUUCUGACGAGCCGUGAUGUCAUUAAUUUGGUGUUACGGGUAGUUAGGACUGUUACUUUGAAAAAAUUAGAGUGUUUAAAGCAGGCAUUAGCUUGAAUACGUUAGCAUGGAAUAAUGAAAUAGGACGUUCGAUCCUAUUUUGUUGGUUUCUAGGAUCAACGUAAUGAUUAAUAGGGAUAGUUGGGGGCAUUAGUAUUCAAUUGUCAGAGGUGAAAUUCUUGGAUUUAUUGAAGACUAACUACUGCGAAAGCAUUUGCCAAGGAUGUUUUCAUUAAUCAAGAACGAAAGUUAGGGGAUCGAAGACGAUCAGAUACCGUCGUAGUCUUAACCAUAAACUAUGCCGACUAGGGAUCGGAUGAUGUUAAUUUUUUAAUGACUCAUUCGGCGCCUU